AGCGAACGCUGGCGGCAGGCCUAACACAUGCAAGUCGAACGAAGCCUUCGGGCUUAGUGGCGGACGGGUGAGUAACACGUGGGAACGUACCUUUUUGUUCGGAACAACUCAGGGAAACUUGAGCUAAUACCGGAUGAGCCCUUAGGGGGAAAGAUUUAUCGCCGAAAGAGCGGCCCGCGUUAGAUUAGCUAGUUGGUGAGGUAAAGGCUCACCAAGGCAACGAUCUAUAGCUGGUCUGAGAGGAUGAUCAGCCACACUGGGACUGAGACACGGCCCAGACUCGUACGGGAGGCAGCAGUGGGGAAUCUUGAGCAAUGAGCGAAAGCCUGACGCAGCCAUGCCGCGUGAAUGAUGAAGGUCUUAGGGUUGUAAAAUUCUUUUACCAGGGACGAUAAUGACGGUACCUGGAGAAAAAGCCCCGGCUAACUUCGUGCCAGCCGCCGCCGUAACAC
rnacentral:rRNA from 1 species